UACGUAGGUGGCGAGCGUUGUCCGGAAUUACUGGGUGUAAAGGGCGUGUAGGCGGGGAAGCAAGUCAGAUGUGAAAUCCCGGGGCUCAACUCCGGAGUUGCAUCUGAAACUGUUUUUCUUGAGUGCUGGAGAGGAAAGCGGAAUUCCUAGUGUAGCGGUGAAAUGCGUAGAUAUUAGGAGGAACACCAGUGGCGAAGGCGGCUUUCUGGACAGUAACUGACGCUGAGGCGCGAAAGCGUGGGGAGCAAACAGGAUUAGAUACCCCUGUAGU
rnacentral:rRNA from 1 species